rnacentral:rRNA from 1 species
UAGGGAAUAUUGGACAAUGGGUGAGAGCCUGAUCCAGCCAUGCCGCGUGCAGGAAGAAGGCGUUAUGCGUUGUAAACUGCUUUUGCCAGGGGAUAAAAAGACUCUGCGGAGUUUAUUGAAGGUACCUGGUGAAUAAGCCACGGCUAACUACGUGCCAGCAGCCGCGGUAAUACGUAGGUGGCAAGCGUUGUCCGGAUUUAUUGGGUUUAAAGGGUGCGUAGGCGGCCCUGUAAGUCAGUGCUGAAAUAUCCCGGCUUAACCGGGAGGGUGGCAUUGAUACUGCAGGGCUUGAGUACAGAUGAAGUAGGCGGAAUUGACGGUGUAGCGGUGAAAUGCAUAGAUAUCGGAAAGACAUCAGUGGCGAAGGCGGCUUCCUGGACUCAUACUGACGCUGAGGCACGAAAGCAUGGGGAGCAAACAGGAUUAGAUACCCGUGUAGUCCCUGAGCGGGCUGGCAAGGCGCAU